CCCGCACCGGCCCGGUCGUCCCCGCCCCCUUCCCGGCCCCGUCGUCCACACCCCCUUUCCGCCCCGCAGUUGCUGGUGAGGUGGCCGUGGCCGCGGCUCCGGCGGUCCGGCGCCCCCUUGCCGGCCCUCUGCUACUGGCUUUCUGGUGUUGCAUAUCUUUGGAGUCAUAGUCGUCGAAGGCAUUGCACGUUGUUGAGUGCAUGGCGGUCGGCAGGGUUCCUCAAUUGCAACCAGCACCAUCUCCACCACAACCAGUGCUGCUUGCUUUUGAGGAGUUUCUGGCACAGAACCCUGGCCCCUCG